GACAUAACCAGUUUGAACUGCUUUUGCUAGCAGCGCACAGUUUCUUUGUCGGGGUCAUGGACAUAUGAUACAUCAGUGGUUGGGGUCAGUUGUGGAAUCCACCAAGGAUUGUAAUCUAUUUAAGACACCCACAGCAAUGUGUUGGACUGUUGCAGCGUCCAGCCUGACAUCCACCCACAGCCUUUCCCCACCAUCCCUCGUCUGUCCUCCAUCUUUCAGGUCUAAGGCAGGCCAAGCAAGACAACCCAGAUUUGCUACCCUCUAGCCUCAUCCUCCAACUCCUCCUGGAGAAUCCCAAGGCAUUGCCAGGCCAGAUAGGAGAUCCCUUCAGUGUGGCCAAGAAAGCUUCCAGAUGGAGGCAUCCUUACCUGAACCACCCCAAAUCAGUUUUCCUCUGAGCUUCUUGCCCCUCACUCUGUUCCUAAGGUCGCUUUUAAACCUGUAGAUUAAUUCAGUUGGUUGUUUCCUUGA